rnacentral:lncRNA from 1 species
CUCAGCAACCGUUUCCCCCGCAACGGCGCCAAAAAUGCUUGUUGACACUUGCUAACACCACUUGAAUACUAGGUUGUCAUCCCCAGCAUGGCACUAGAGUGUACUAUGGUAUUUAUACGCACACAGAUAAUCCACAAGCGCACGGAUACCGUUGAAGCUUUUACCCGGUUAAAGGUUUUAUCGUAUCCACAGGGAAACGGAAAAACUGAUCUACGCUCUAACUUAACCAAGAAAAGUAAAUAGGUGUAAAUAGGAAAGAUGGUAGAAUCGAAUAAGAACAAUAUUAAAGGUAAGAUAAGAGUGAGUGAUAAUAUGGGAAUAGAGAGUAGAGCAAUCUAUUAUAUGGGCGAUGGUAGCAGAAUAGAGAGGAUAACUAUGGUUUCUCUACUUUAAAGGGGUAUGUCUAUGUCUGGGACGAACCACGUGAUAAGAUUACACCACAAAGGAUGCUUAUCCAUAGGCCGAUAAACCCUACCCAUCCUGCUAACGAAAGGUGGACUACAGAGGACCAACGUAACUGUCACCUACGCGGCCUACCACACGAUCUAGCUAGACAGGGGAUAUCCACAAGUAAUCUAGGUCUAAGCACCACGCUUACACCUAUACUACAACUCUAACCUAUAGCGUCCUAUAGAUUAGAAGUACUCAAAAGAGUUGUGAACCAGAACAUACAUGAUUAGUAAUUGCAUAAUGAACUAGAAGUAGAUUACCAGAGUCAUCCCAUGAGCAAGCUUGAUUAGAGCUUGAUCAUGACGAAGUACAACCGGAGGAAGAACCGACAGGCCGGCCUCUCCUCUAAUCCUCUUUCGCUCUCCAUCUCGCUACUAUUUAGAUCUACUCUAGUUUAGAGAAGAGAGGAGAACUCUCAUCUCUAAACCCUAGCUUUUGCUCUGUCUAUGAAUAAUGAAUAAUGAUCAAGGGGUGCCUCCUCCAGGGGCCAGGGGGUCUGGUUAUAUAGUCCCCUCAAGUGAACCUGGGCCGUCGGAUCAAACCGACAUUGAUUGAACGGUUAUUCUUGAUCCUUUAGGUCGGUGGAGAUCUUCCGAGAGAAAGAGUCCUGAUUGGGCUCCAAGUCAGGGCGGGCGCCCAGGGCAGGAGGGCGGGCGCCCUACCUCUAGCCCCGUUCGGCCUCCGCUUCCUUCCCGUGGCUUCUGGAGUCUUCUAGAUGUAAGAUAAUUGCGUGACACGUUAAUAUCUCUAUGUAAUCCCGACGUGUGGGCCUUUCUUCCGUAUUUCCGGAUAACCCCCUGCAGAAAUAGACAAACACCAAAACUCGUGGAAUUCUGUCAGAUAAAACCCUAAGUCU